CCCUUAGAUGUCCUGGGCCGCACGCGCGCUACACUGACAUGUUCAACAAGCCUCCUAGUUCGACAGGAUUUGGGAAAUCUUUGAACGCAUGUCGUGAUAGGGAUAGAUCAUUGCAAUUAUUGAUCUUGAACGAGGAAUUCCUAGUAAACGCGAGUCAUCAGCUCGCAUUGAUUACGUCCCUGCCCGUUGUACACACCGCCCGUCGCACCUACCGAUUGAAUGUUUCGGUGAAGAUUCCGGAUAGGACUUUUUUGAUUUAUUUCAAUUUUGUCUUAAAAGCUAUCUAAACCUCAACAUUUAGAGGAAGGUGAAGUCGUAACA
rnacentral:rRNA from 1 species